CUCAUUGUUUUUUUUUAUUCACACAUACCAGUUGUACAAACAAUAAAUUACAAGUUCAGUGCUGUGUCAGCGGUCAGCAAGAGCGGUUUCCCUACUGGAAGAGUCAGAGUGGGUUGUGUGUCUUUGUGUGUGUGUGUGUGUGUGUGUGUGUCUGUGUGUGUGUGUGUG